rnacentral:rRNA from 1 species
AUGUUAGCGGCGGACGGGUGAGUAACACGUGGGUAACCUACCUAUAAGACUGGGAUAACUCCGGGAAACCGGGGCUAAUACCGGAUAAUAUUUUGAACCGCAUGGUUCAAUAGUGAAAGACGGUUUCGGCUGUCACUUAUAGAUGGACCCGCGCCGUAUUAGCUAGUUGGUAAGGUAACGGCUUACCAAGGCGACGAUACGUAGCCGACCUGAGAGGGUGAUCGGCCACACUGGAACUGAGACACGGUCCAGACUCCUACGGGAGGCAGCAGAG